GUAGGGUCCAAGCGUUAAUCGGAAUUACUGGGCGUAAAGCGUGCGCAGGCGGUUGUGCAAGACCGAUGUGAAAUCCCCGGGCUUAACCUGGGAAUUGCAUUGGUGACUGCACGGCUAGAGUGUGUCAGAGGGGGUAGAAUUCCACGUGUAGCAGUGAAAUGCGUAGAGAUGUGGAGGAAUACCGAUGGCGAAGGCAGCCCCCUGGGAUAACACUGACGCUCAUGCACGAAAGCGUGGGGGGAGCAAACAGGAUUAGAUACCCUGGUAGUCCACGCCCUAAACCGAUGUCAGCUAGUUGUUGGGGAUUCAUUUCCUUAGUAACGUAGCUAACGCGUGAAGUUGACCGCCUGGGAGUACGGUCGCAAGAUUA
rnacentral:rRNA from 1 species